rnacentral:sRNA from 1 species
CCACUCCUAAAGCUGCAAGCUUGGUAGAAGAGGACAAGUUUCCCUGAUAGAGGAGGACCGUUCUUCCAUCAAGGGUAUACAAGUAACUGUGCUCUCCUGCUAGAAACUCCAAACAAGCUCUCAGAGCGUGACCUCCACCUCAUGGCCCAAAAUAGUUGCUGAAGUCCAGC